rnacentral:rRNA from 1 species
AUUGAACGCUGGCGGCGGGCCUAACACAUGCAAGUCGAACGCGUGGCGGACGGGUGAGUCAUGUCUGGGACACUCCCUGAUGGGGGGGGCUAACUACUGGAACCGGUAGCUAAUACCGCUUACCAUCAGAUUUUCCCAGGUGGUAUUAUCUAGUGGGUGGGGUAACGGCUCACCAAGGCGACGAUCCCUAGCUGGCCUGAGAGGAUGACCGGCCACACUGGAACUGAGACACGGCCCAAACUCCUACGGGAGGCAGCAGUGGGGAAUCUUGCGCAAUGGGCGCAAGCCUGACGUAGCCAUGCCGCGUGUAUGAAGAAGGUCUUCGGGUUGUAAAGUACUUUCAGCGGGGAGGCGGUACCUGAAGAAGAAGCACCGGCUAACUACGUGCCAGCAGCCGCGGUAAUUC